CUCAACACUGGGACUGAGAACUGCCCAGACUCCUACGGGAGGCUGCUAGUCGAGAAUCAUUCGCAAUGGGCGCAAGCCUGACGAUGCGACGCCGUGUGAGCGAUGAAGGCCUUCGGGUUGUAAAGCUCUUUCGCUUGGGAACAAGAGAGGGUGACUAAUAAUCAUCUAAUUUGAGGGUACCAGGGAAAGAAGCACCGGCUAACUCCA
rnacentral:rRNA from 1 species